GAUGAACGCUGGCGGCGUGCCUAAUACAUGCAAGUCGAGCGAAACUUCUUUAUCACCGAGUGCUUGCGCUCACCGAUAAAGAGUUGAGUGGCGAACGGGUGAGUAACACGUGGGCAACCUGCCCAAAAGAGGGGGAUAACACUUGGAAACAGGUGCUAAUACCGCAUAACCAUAGUUACCGCAUGGUAACUAUGUAAAAGGUGGCUAUACUACCGCUUUUGGAUGGGCCCGCGGCGCAUUAGCUAGUUGGUAGGGUAAAGGCUUACCAAGGCAAUGAUGCGUAGCCGAAUUGAGAGGUUGAUCGGCCACAUUGGGACUGAGACACGGCCCAAACUCCUACGGGAGGCAGCAGUAGGGAAUCUUCCACAAUGGGCGAAAGCCUGAUGGAGCAACGCCGCGUGGGUGAAGAAGGUCUUCGGAUCGUAAAACCCUGUUGUUAGAGAAGAAAGUGCGUGAGAGUAACUGUUCACGUUUCGACGGUAUCUAACCAGAAAGCCACGGCUAACUACGUG
rnacentral:rRNA from 1 species